rnacentral:rRNA from 1 species
AUUGAACGCUGGCGGCAUGCCUUACACAUGCAAGUCGAACGGCAGCACGGGUGCUUGCACCUGGUGGCGAGUGGCGAACGGGUGAGUAAUACAUCGGAACAUGUCCUGUAGUGGGGGAUAGCCCGGCGAAAGCCGGAUUAAUACCGCAUACGAUCUACGGAUGAAAGCGGGGGACCUUCGGGCCUCGCGCUAUAGGGUUGGCCGAUGGCUGAUUAGCUAGUUGGGGGGGUAAAGGCCUACCAAGGCGACGAUCAGUAGCUGGUCUGAGAGGACGACCAGCCAACGUGGGACUGAGACCCGGCCCAGACUCCUACGGGAGGCAGCAGUGGGGAAUUUGGGAAAAGGGGCGAAAGCCUGACCCAGCAAUGCCGGGUGUGUGAAGAAGGCCUUCGGGUUGUAAAGCCCUUUUGGCCGGAAAGAAAUCCUUGGCCCUAAUACGGGCGGGGGAUGACGGUACCGGAAGAAUAAGCACCGGCUAACUACGU